UACGGAAGGGGCAAGCGUUGUUCGGAAUCAUUGGGCGUAAAGGGCGCGCAGGUGGUUCUGUAUGUCUACCGUGAAAGCGUACGGCUCAACCGUAUUUUGUCGGUAGAAACUGCAGGACUUGAGGCUGGGAGGGGCUGGUGGAAUUCCCUGUGUAGCGGUGAAAUGCGUAGAGAUGGGGGAGAACACUCGUGGCGAAGGCGGCCAGCUAGACCAGUUCUGACACUGAGGC
rnacentral:rRNA from 1 species